rnacentral:rRNA from 1 species
AGUGAACGCUGGCGGUAGGCCUAACACAUGCAAGUCGAACGGCAGCACAGUAAGAGCUUGCUCUUACGGGUGGCGAGUGGCGGACGGGUGAGGAAUACAUCGGAAUCUACUUUUUCGUGGGGGAUAACGUAGGGAAACUUACGCUAAUACCGCAUACGACCUACGGGUGAAAGCAGGGGAUCUUCGGACCUUGCGCGAUUGAAUGAGCCGAUGUCGGAUUAGCUAGUUGGCGGGGUAAAGGCCCACCAAGGCGACGAUCCGUAGCUGGUCUGAGAGGAUGAUCAGCCACACUGGAACUGAGACACGGUACAGACUCCUACGGGAGGCAGCAGUGGGGAAUAUUGGACAAUGGGCGAAAGCCUGAUCCAGCAAUACCGCGUGGGUGAAGAAGGCCUUCGGGUUGUAAAGCCCUUUUGUUGGGAAAGAAAAGCAGCAGGUUAAUACCCCGCUGUUCUGACGGUACCCAAAGAAUAAGCACCGGCUAACUUCGUG